rnacentral:lncRNA from 1 species
GAACGACGGAGAGUGAUUUACCUCAACGGCAGCAGCAGGAGCAGGAAACCCGCUGAACUGUGAGAAGCAGACGAACAGCACCAUGAAAUCAAGGCAGUUGAUCCAGCAUUUUCUAUGUCUACUGGGGAGAUUCAAAUGAAGCAGUCCAAUCAGGUCUCCAAGGUCUCCAAGGUCAUAUGAUGAAGGACUGGUGUGAGAGAAUCCUCCUGACAGCAUGCAGUUGAAAACAAGACAAAGGAUUUUCUCCAUUGAUAGAGGAUGUUUGAUUGAUCUUGGCUGCAUCCAAGCAUAACACUUCUCAAGGCCAGGUGCAGGAUUACUGCAUCAUCCACCUGAUGUCAUUCUCAUCAAAUUGCUUGUUCUUUUUUUCCCAUUUAAUCUGAUUUUCCUUACCACCAAAU